rnacentral:tRNA from 1 species
CAAAAGAGUACUUAAAAAAAGCAUUCGACCUACACUCGAACGAUAUUGCAUUAAUCUUUUUGA